AAAAAUUUAGUUAAUCCCAUAAUAUUAGUUUGUCAAACUAAAGUUACAUCUCUGUAUUUUUUA
rnacentral:tRNA from 1 species